GAUUUCUCUAGCAAUUGGACUCCUAUUGGGCUUCACCAAUGGAAAGUCACCAUCCGAGCUUCUACGGCAGAUGACUCCCACCUGUAGUACCAGCGCUUAAGGUAUCCGACAGCAGAAGACUCGUCAGCAGCUUUGCAGACAUCCAAGCUUCUCCUAGAUCGAUGGGAUAGAGAGCCAUUCUGCUCCAUCAGAUAUCCUAGCCGAGCUCUAGCUGACAGAUCCAAACUCUCUGGCAAGUCACGACAAUGGCCACUACCCUACUCCACUCUCUGCAAUGGAUUCUGCGUGGCUCCACUACUCUGUGGCA
rnacentral:lncRNA from 1 species